rnacentral:tRNA from 1 species
GUUUAAAUAGUUUAAUUGAAAAUUAUGAUUUGUGGUAUCAUAGAAAUAAAUAUAAAAUUUUAUUUUAAGCU